UUACGGCUAUUUCACGUUGAAACACCCUUUCGCGUACGAUCACCAAAGUUAAGCAACGUCGAGCCUGGUCAGUACCUAGAUGAGUGAUAGCUUCGGAAUACCGGGUGUUGUAAG